UACGUAGGAUGCAAACGUUACUCGAAUUUACUGGGCGUAAAGGGUGAGUAGGCGGGAUUAUAAGUCUAAGGUGAAAUACCGGGGCUCAACCCCGGAAACGCCUUAGAUACUGUGGUCCUUGAGUGAGACAGAGGGCGAUAGAAUUCCUGGUGUAAGGGUGGAAUCUGUAGAUAUCAGGAGGAAUACCGAUGGCGUAGGCAAUCGCCUGGGUCUCUACUGACGCUGAAUCACGAAAGCAAGGGGAU
rnacentral:rRNA from 1 species